CUGACUCUCUACAUAUAGAGGCCACACACAUAGAAAUCUUGCCACCCUCCUUCAAUCCUUUUGUCUUGCCAAAAUCAGCAGCAUACUAACAUGUCUUACCGUGAGUUUGAAAUUCUACUUGCACUUCAUUUUUUGAAAGGCGAAACAAAAAUGUAUCUGAGUUAGGAUUCGCCAUUAUCAACAAACCCGAAUGGCGAUGCAAUUAUUGUUGUCCACACUCCUGAAUUUCUCAACACAAUUAAUACACCUGGUCUUCCAAAUCACAAACUCAGGUUAAAGGUUGGUGUUCCAGUGAUGUUGUUAAGGAAUAUAGAUCAAAGAUCAGGAUUAUGCAAUGACACAAGACUAAUCAUAACUAGAAUGGAUAAAUUUGUGCUUGAAGGAAAGGUCAUAUUCGAAGCAAUAUAUGCAAGAAUUUUUUUUUUUUAUACCAAGAUUAUCUCUUACUCCUUCUGAUGUCAUGAUACCUUUCAAAUUUCAACGGAGACAAGUUCCGAUAGCUGUUUCUUUUGCAAUGACUAUUAACAAAAGUCAAGGACAGUCUCUGAAGAAAGUUGAGAUAUAUUUGCAAGUCAUGUGUUUUCACACGGUCAGUUAUAUGUGUCAAUAUCAAGAGUUACCUCCAGAGAUGGAUUGAAGAUACUUACAACGGAUGAAAAUGUUCAAGAUGCCAAUGUGACUUCAAAUGUACUAUAUCCAAAAGUAUUUCGUAAUGUAAGAUACGUUGUGCUAAAAAUCAAUGAUUUUUGUAUGAUAUUUUGAUUUAUUGCAUUCCAAUGGUAGCAACAAAUUAUAUUACUGAAGUCACCAUUAUGCGACUA